rnacentral:snRNA from 1 species
CCUUUAUGUGUGGACACAUUC